AUGCCAGACUCCUACGGGAGGCAGCAGUGGGGGAUAUUGCACAAUGGGGGAAACCCUGAUGCAGCGACGCCGCGUGGGCGAAGAAGUAUUUCGGUAUGUAAAGCCCUAUCAGCAGGGAAGAAGAAAUGACGGUACCUGAGUAAGAAGCACCGGCUAAAUACGUGCCAGCAGCCGCGGUAAUACGUAUGGUGCAAGCGUUAUCCGGAUUUACUGGGUGUAAAGGGAGCGUAGACGGCAGUGCAAGUCCGGAGUGAAAGCCCGGGGCUCAACCCUGGGACUGCUCUGGAAACUGUAAAGCUGGAGUGCGGGAGGGGCAGGCGGAAUUCCUGGUGUAGCGGUGAAAUGCGUAGAUAUUAGGAGGAACACCAGUGGCGAAGGCGGCCUGCUGGACGACAACUGACGGUGAGGCGCGAAAGCGUGGGGAGCAAACAGGAUUAGAUACCCCCGUA
rnacentral:rRNA from 1 species